GGCCUGGUUGCGCUUGGAGCGCGUCUGUGUUUCGUGCAACAUGAACGGAAUUGAAUGCACUGAAGCAGCUGUCUCCCGUUCGAUUCGGGGCCGGGCCA